AUGACGACCUCCGCACUCCGGCGCCAGGUGAAGAACAUCUAGCACAACUACUCCGAGGCGGAAAUCAAGGUGCGCAAGGCCACCAGCAAUGACCCCUGGGGCCCCCCUAGUUCACUCAUGUCCGAGAUCGCUGACCUGACCUUCAACACGGUGGCCUUCACUGAGGUCAUGGGCAUGCUGUGGUGGCGGAUCAAUGACAGCGGCAAGAACUGGCGGCAUGUGUACAAGGCUCUGACAUUGCUGGACUACCUGCUCAAGACGGGCUCCGAGCGGGUGGCCCACCAGUGCGGCGAGAACCUCUAAACCAUCCAGACACUCAAAGACUUCCAGUACAUCGACCGCGACAGCAAGGACCAGGGCGUCAACAUGCGCGAGAAGGUCAAGCAGGUGAUGGCCCUGCUCAAGGACGAGGAGCGGCUGCGGCAAGAGCGAACCCACGCCCUCAAGACCAAGGAGCCCAUGGUGCUGGAGGGCAUCGGCAUUGGCAGUGGGCAGCUGGGCUUCAGCCACCGCUACGGCGAGGACUACAGCCGCUCCCGGGGCUUCUCGUCCUCCUACAACUCCUCCUCUUCGUCACCCCGCUAUACCUCCGACCUGGAGCAGGCCCGGCCUCAGACGUCAGGGGAAGAGGAAUUGCAGCUACAGCUGGCCCUAGCCAUGAGCCGUGAGGAGGCAGAGAAGCCUGUCCCCCCAGCCUCCCACAGGGACGAGGACCUGCAGCUGCAGCUGGCUCUGCGCCUGAGCCGGCAGGAGCACGAGAAGGAGGUGAGGUCCUGGCGGGGUGAUGGCUCCCCCAUGGCCAAUGGUGCAGGGGCUGUGGUCCACCAUCGGCGGGACAGGGAGCCUGAGAGAGAAGAGAGAAAGGAGGAGGAGAAGCUAAAAACCAGCCAGUCCUCCAUCCUGGACUUGGCUGACAUCUUCGUACCUGCCCUGGCCCCGCCCUCCACACACUGCUCUGCUGACCCAUGGGACAUCCCAGGUUUUAGGCCGAACACAGAGGCCAGCGGCUCCUCCUGGGGGCCUUCUGCAGACCCCUGGUCUCCGAUCCCCUCAGGAACCGUCCUGUCCCGGAGCCAGCCCUGGGAUCUGACUCCCAUGCUCUCCUCCUCUGAGCCCUGGGGCAGGACCCCAGUGCUGCCUGCUGGGCCCCCCACCACAGACCCCCGGGGCACCGAACUCCCCCCACCACAAACUCCCCAGCACUGGGGCUGACCCUUGGGGAGCCUCCCUGGAGACCUCCGACACACCUGGUGGUGCCUCGGCCUUUGACCCAUUUGCCAAACCUCCAGAAUCCACAGAGACCAAGGAGGGGCUGGAGCAGGCCCUGCCCUCUGGGAAGCCCAGCAGCCCUGCGGAGCUAGACCUGUUUGGAGACCCCAGUCCCAGUUCCAAGCAAAAUGGCACGAAGGAGCCAGAUGCCCUGGACCUGGGUAUACUAGGGGAAGCACUAACCCAGCCAAGCAAAGAGGCCCGAGCUUGCCGGACUCCCGAGUCCUUCCUGGGCCCCUCGGCUUCUUCCUUGGUCAACCUUGACUCGUUGGUCAAGGCACCCCAGGCUGUAAAAACCCGGAACCCCUUCCUGACAGGUCUCAGCGCUCCGUCCCCCACCAACCCGUUUGGCGCGGGCGAGCCGGGCAGGCCGACGCUAAACCAGAUGCGCACCGGGUCGCCGGCGCUGGGCCUGGCAGGCGGGCCUGUGGGGGCGCCCCUGGGCUCCAUGACCUACAGCGCCUCUCUGCCCCUCCCGCUCAGCAGCGUGCCAGCCGGCUUGACCCUCCCCGCCUCGGUUAGCGUCUUCCCGCAGGCCGGAGCCUUCGCACCGCCCCGCGCUGGCCUGCCGCAGCCGCUGCUGCCCACGCCGAGCUCAGCCUGGCGGCGGCCCCCGCCCCCGCAGACCGGCACCAACCCCUUCCUCUGA